rnacentral:misc_RNA from 1 species
GAUGAAGAACGCAGCGAAAUGCGAUAAGUAAUGUGAAUUGCAGAAUUCAGUGAAUCAUCGAAUCUUUGAACGCACCUUGCGCCCUUUGGACAUUCCGAAGGGCAUGCCUGUUUGAGUAUCAUGAACACCUCAACUCUCACGGCUUGUCCGUGAUGAGCUUGGACUUUGGGGGUCUUGCCGGCCUGUGGUCGGCUCCUCUCAAAUGGAUCAGCUUGCCAGUGUUUGGUGGCAUCACAGGUGUGAUAACUAUCUGCGCUUGUGGUUUUCCAUCAGAUAACCUUCAGUGAUAUGGAGGUUCGCUGGAGCUCACAAAUGUCUCUCCUUAGUGAGGACAGCUCUUUGAACGUUUGAUCUCAAAUCAGGUAGGACUACCCGCUGAACUUAAGCAUAUCAAUACGCGGAGGA